GUACCUUUGAGUCAAAUUAAUAAUUACAAGUAUUUCUCUAUGUCAAUUAUAUAUCACUUUGAACAUUAGUAGUUUGACCAGUUUUAGUACCUUUUUUAUGAGUUAGAUUAGAGUCGUUUCACAUGUUAUCAUUGCAGUGUUUUCUAGGAAUAGAUAUAUAGUAGGAACCAAGGAGUAGUAGGACUUGGAAGACAAAUUAAGAUAGAGUGAACUUUUGGUUGGGAAAAUGGAGAUAAUGUAAAGGAAUAUAGGGAACUUAUCCAAGCUUGAAGGUGCAGAUAAUUUAUUUAUUUUGUGGUGUAUUAUCUUCCAUUCUUCACAAAAUCUAUUGAAGUAUAUCUGAAAAUUAAAAUAUCCAGGAAACUAAUUACAAGAUAAUUACUCGGUGAUCAAUUAUGAAUUUUAGCCUUAUCUCUGUUUACUUCUUUUGUGCUAUGGGGUUCUAAAGAUUGAUUCUUGAUUGACGCGCUUAUUUUUUGUAUUUGACGUUUGUUAAUUUGAUAUAUAGUUGUGUUAAGAAAGGGGAAGUUGAGUUUAGGGGAAGUUGAAUGCAUGUGGACUUUAAAGUCAAAGGUACUGCAUUACUGAAAGAGUAAAUCUUCCUUUCCGUGUAUUACGUUAUCAAAGAAUUAGACCGUACACGUACGGAAGUGAAUGUUAAGAUCUUCAAUAUGGACAACUUGGUGCAAGAUAAGAAAAUUUCCGGGACAAACUGAGCGAACAUUGAGUGCUGAUGUUGAGCUAAUGAUUCCAUCCCUCCUGAGAGACCUGAUAACUGUGUUCGCUUAAGUUGACGAUUUUCUUUAUCCCUUGUAUGGAUCUUUUGGAGGGCUUUCUGUGGGGUGGGGUAAAUUAAUUUCGACAAUGGCAUUCUUUCCUUGUUUUGCAGUGGUUUAUUCUAUUGGCGCUAGAGUUCAUGAUGAUUUUUUUGUGC